CCAUACCAACCACCAUACCAACCACCAUACCAACCACCAUAUCCACCACAACCAAACCCAUACCCACCAUAUCUCUUUUAAUAUCAUCAGUAACUGCAGGACAUGAUUAUUGAGGUUUGACUGGCAAAUACAACUUCUACAUGCAUAUUCCCAUCCUUCAUACCAUACCACACUAUCACCACUUUUUGAAAAAUUAUCAAAGAGCAAUGCAAAUGAAAAGAAAGACUAUAAUUUACUGUAUACUCUUUGUUUCAGGAUACUUGCCUUUUAAGUUAUCAUUUGAUGAUAUAAUUGAAAUUUAAACUGUUAAGCUGUUUUCAGUUUUGUUUCUGAGUAAUAGAAAUCACUUCUCAAAAGCAAUAAAUUUCAAGCAUAUUCUUA